rnacentral:rRNA from 1 species
AACGUAGGAGGCGAGCGUUAUCCGGAUUUACUGGGUGUAAAGCGCGUGCAGGCGGUUUGGUAAGUUGGGUGUGAAAGCUCCUGGCUCAACUGGGAGAGGUCGCUCAAGACUGCCAGACUUGAGAGUGGUAGGGGAAGGUGGAAUUCCGGGUGUAGUGGUGAAAUGCGUAGAUAUCCGGAGGAACACCAGUGGCGAAGGCGGCCUUCUGGACCACAUCUGACGCUCAGACGCGAAAGCUAGGGUAGCAAAC